rnacentral:tRNA from 21 species
UGGGGUAUCGUCCAACGGUUAGGACACGGGUUUUUGGUGCCUGGAAUGUGGGUUCGAAUCCUACUACCCCAGCCA